rnacentral:lncRNA from 1 species
AGAGGGAGGAGUUAAGGAGACAGACAGAGAGAGAGAGAGAUCUGAGGAGAAGAGGGAGAACCAAAAUGGAGGCUGACGUGGUGUUAUCAAAGGAUAUGUGCAAGAUGAGAGCCAGCCAUCGUCUCCUGAUAGUGGAGAUUUGAUCUGAAGCAUUCAAAUAGGAAAUGAAUGCUCAGAGGAAGCUUCAAAUUUCUUUCUACUUGAAGAAGCUGAAUUGCAGAAGCUAUCUCUGUCCUGUUAAUCACCGGGUCCACAGUGAAACCAGCCAACUUCAGAGAGUGAGUUAAAAGAGAGACUCUUGUGCUGCGUGACCCCUGACUGUAACCAAGUGUCCUUCUCUCUGAGACGUUCCCUCGGAGCUUGUUCUCACAGCCCUCACCUCCAGUGACCUCCACGAACUUUUCCACACGAGGGGUUCUCUGCUUCCCUCCAUCUGAGCUGCGCAAUUCCACCAGGCCUUUUGCUCCUCUUCAGUCAGGUGCUUUGGAGGUAAUGAAGUCUUUCGGGGGAAAAAUAAACAAAGGAAAUGCACCCGGUUGAUGUCAAUGGACUUGUUUAACUAUUUAAGGCCACUGUCUCCAAGUGUAAGUGUGCUGCGGUGUGUUUUGUAAAGUAGCGCUUAUAAUCCACUGAGCUUUCCAAACAGCCCUCUUGCCUAUUAAGCCUGCAUUGAGAAGUGGGUUUAAUUUGCCAGAGUAGUUUUUUGUGAUAAUUACAGGACUUGCAGAUUAGCUUGAGUGACUUGGCAAGGUUCUGUAGCUAAUAAAAAAUCACACAGGAAAAAAAUUGUAACAUUCAAUUGCUUCAAGGUUCUUCACGAGAGAAACAUUAAACAAACCUGAUAGGCCAGUUUCCAGUCUGUGAAACUGCACCGAAGGCUUGCUCACAUGAUUGAGGUCAGAUUGCGUUCUCCACUCUUACACUACCCAGAAUCCCCUUCCCAAGGACUAGUGCCACUGCAAUGGGCAAGUUCCCCACCUCAAUAAAGAUAACCCUACAUCAUAUUUUACAGCAGGACUUUGGGUCCCUAACCUGCAACUCAGCACUCAGUCCAUCAUGGGCUUUGCUAGUCUCUGUGACUUCUCCAGGGCAGGAAAGUGACAGGUUUCUGCGCAAGGGAGCCCGAGGUACCUGGUUCAGGAUGGAGAGGGCACUUGAGAGGCGUCAAAAGCAAGCACAGUUAGAGGACAUCAGCGAUGUUAAAACCCCACGAGGGUCAACAGUAGCCCAGGCAAAAUAAAGGAGCCUGAAGUGGAAAAACAGAAAUGGAACAAGACGUUUGUUCUGGAGCACGUGAGAUUGUCCUUCUAAGACAUUUCCAGAAGUAUUCAAAGGAAGAUUUAAUGGGAAAUCAUUAUGCAAAAGAGUCAGUAAUAUAUUUUAGUUUCAAAAAGUACGGAGCGUGACGCCUGUCAAUUAUACCUUCUGCAAAGGUGAGUGGCGGUUGUCCUUGCUGUUCCAAAAUGCAAAGAGAAACAAACAAACAAACAAACAAGCAAACCAGCUACUCCUAUUCCGCACUCCAAACACCAAGCAGAAAUGCUUCUGGGACAAACUGAGCUUCAUUCUUUAUGAAAAUGAAAACACUUCUUUCUGUGCACUAGGAAAAUGUUCUGCCUCUGAGCUGCAAAACCAGCACCAAACUUGAAAAGUUUGUGCAUCAAAGGAAAAAGGCAACCUACAGGAUGGGGGAGAAUAUUUGCAGGACACAUGUCCUGGAAGGAAUACAUAUUUAGACUGAAUAAAAUGAGUAAGAGGAGGGAUAGGGAGUUCGUGUUCAAUGUUGAGAGCUUGGGACAGUUGAGAAAACGCUCCGGAGUGUUCUGCAGAUGAAUGAUGGUGACGACUGCAUCAGUGUGAAUGUCCUUAACGCCGUCAAAAAUUGGUUAUAAUGGCAAAUUUUAUGCUACAUAUGUUUUACUACAAUAAAAAUGCCAGGAAAAUCUAACUGCUCCAAAUCCUGAAUUUAUUAACCCAAUAAAUUAGGAGAUGGUUAUUGACCUAUAAAUGGAUUUGUCAAUUUUUAAAAUGAUUUCCUUUAAAUUGAAUUCUUUCCUAGAGCUUUAUUGUCUCUUCACAAACCAUUAAACACUUGUUAAAGUGUUCAGAGAGGGCUGAGAUGGAGGAGGAAGUGAAAACCAAACAAACAGAUGAGGGACCUUCCCCAAAUGAUGUCUGCUAACAGGCUUCUUGGGUAUUCUAUUUAUAUAGAUUUUACAAGUGUUUUAUUUGAGAGGAAAAAUCCCUAGACCUUACAUAGUACAAUGAACUUCUUAUGCCUGUCAGCUAGAUUUAUUAAUUUUUAACGAGGUGUAUUACUUUUAAAAGCUAUCUAUUUACUAUUGGGGGAGGGAGAAGGACAAAGGACAUCUUGCAGAAGUCUGGUCUCUCCUGCUAUGUGGGUUCUGGAGAUAGGAAAUCAGGCAGGUUGUCAGGCCUAGAAGCAAAGGCCUGUCUGCACUGAGCCAUCUUACUUGUCUUAUUUUGUUACUUUUGAUGACCUAUUUUAGACAUCACUAUUCUAUAGCCCUAAGUAUAACUUCAAGUAUGUAUCUUCCACAAUGACUUUAUGACCAUGAAAUCAAUUCAAGAAAUUUAACAUGUAUGCAGUUCUAUCCAGCGUACAUACAGAUUUCUCAUCCCCCCUUUUACUGUAGUUUAUAGAAAAAGCAAUUCUCUUCCAUAUCUAGAGUUUGACAAGGAAUAUGCAUUGCAUUUGGUUUCUGUGUUCUUUAAUCUCUUGUUGUACAGAACUUCAACCUUUCAUGACAGGUUGAACAAUUUUGGAUCAUACAGGCUGUCAUGGUUUGAAUAUGUUUGGCCCAGGGAGUGGUACUGUUAGGGGUGUGGUCUUCUUGGAAUAGGUGUGUCACCGUGGGCGUGGGCUUUAAGACCCUCAUCCUUAGCUUCUGGAAGUCAGUCUUCCACUAGCAACCUUCAGAUGAAGAUGUAGAACUCUCACCAUCUCCUGCACUAUACCUGCCUGGAUAUCGCCAUGUUCCUGCCUUGAUGAUUAUGGACUGAACCUCUGAACCUGUAAGCCAGCCCCAAUUAAAUUUGUCCUUAUAAGAGUUACCUUGGUCAUGGUGUCUGUUCACAGCAGUAAAACCCUAACUAAGACACAGGCCAAUUACAGAAUGUCUCUUUUUGGUGUGUGCAGUGUUAAAGUUUGAAGCACAAGCCUAAUGCUUGUUAGACAAGCACUCUACCGCUGCUCUACAUCAGCAGCUCAGUGUGCCUCUUGUCUUGAUGGGCUCAUUGUUUUUUAUGACCCAGUGCAUUGGGGUGAGCAGCUCACACAGGUACGAAGGGGUCCCUCUCAGAGCUUAACAUCAGGGAACUCAAUGUUGGUUUGUCUGUUCUAUUUCAGCUGAGCUAGUAUCUGGCAGUUCCCCACAACCCCCAUCAAGUUACCACUUUUUUCUUUGUAAUUGUAAUUUGCAAAGAAAUAUUUGCAAGAUUAAGUAAUAGACUACACAACGUGUUUUAGCUUCCACUGAGCAUUCAGCCUGAACUGUUUUAUAAAGUUAUGAAAUGAUAGAUUUCCAACUUAAUAAUUAUUUUAAAGACUUAUUUUAUUUUUAGUUCUGCAUGUAUGCCUGUGUGUGCACGUGUGUACCUAUGUAUCUGUAUGGUUAUGUGCACAUGAAUGCAGAUGUCCAAGGAGAAGAGGCCAGACACAUUGGAUCCCUGGUGCUCAAGUGGGAGGUGGCUGUCAGCUGCUGUAGGAAGGUGAUGGGAACUCAGCUUGAGUCCUUUGCAAGAACAGCAUGAGCUCUUAAACACAGAGCCACAUCUUCAGUCCCUCUCUUAUUUUUUUAAAAAUUAUUCUCUCUCUGUGUAUGUGUGUGUAUACAGAGGUCAGAGGAUCAUUUUUGUAAAAUUAGUUCUCUCUACCUUUUUUUGUGGGCUCUGGGGACUAAACUCAAGUUGUUGGGAUUUUGUGACAAGUGCUGUAUCCACUGAGCCCUCUCACAUGCCCUUAAAUGUUAUUUUAAAUAAUAGCAAAUGAGUACGUUCAAGCAUACGAGAAUAAGCAUGUCCUAUUGAUUUGAAUAUGCAAAAGUAUGCCAAUUUUUUAAAUCUCUAUUACCAAGUGGACAAGUAUUCCAUUUUAUCUCCAAAAGUAAAGAUUUCUUUUAGAUACAGUCAUGUGGAUUAUACAACUUGACUGAAGCCAUGUCUCCAAGAUACAUACCUAGAGGGUAAAGGGAAUGCUUUAAAGGAGCGUGAUUAUGAAUAUCCAAGCUGAAAAUAAACACUAAUUACUAACAAAAAGGAUUACUGAGAAAAAUAUGGGUUGGUUUUCAGUACUUGACUCUGUAAAGUUAUUUCUUUUCUUAUUUAGUUUUUAUUCAUAAUCAUAAACUUAACUUUGCCAUCCAGCUAGACUUGAAGGGGAAUGAGGAAAAUAUGGAACCCAAAGAACUUGAGCAGAGAUUACAGGGUAUUUCAAGCAGAUGGGGUAGGGAUGCUCUCCUGCGCUACAGAAGGAAUGGUUGGAUGGGUAAAAUGCCUGCAAGUCAAAAGAAAUUAGAGUUAUCCACAGUCGGAAAUGGUCUUGCUGGUCUUUCCAUUCCUGGACCCAAAACACUCCAUGGCUUCCACAAUGUUCAUGCCUUCUUUCACCUUCCCAGACACCACAUGCUUGCCAUCCAGCCACUUAGUCUUGGCAGUGCAGAUAAAAAACUGGGAACCGUUUGUGUUGGUCCAGUAUUUGCCAUGGACAAGAUGCCAGGACCUGUAUGCUUCAGGAUGAAGAUCUCAUCCUCAAAUUUCUCUCCAUAGAUGGAUCUGCCGCCAGUGCCAUUAUGGCAUGUAAAGUCACCACCCUGGCACAUGAAUCCUGGAAUAAUUCUGUGAAAGGAGGAACCCUUCUAGUAAAAUCCUUUCUCUCCAGUGCUCAGAGCAUGAAAGUUUCCCGCUGUCUUUGGAACUUUGUCUGCAAACAGCUGGAAGGAGACUCUUCAAGGGCUCGUCAUCGGCCGUGAUGUCAGAGAACACGGUGGGGUCGACUGUGGCUACAGCAAGAGGACCAACGGUACUGUUGCUCUAGCUACAGGAAUAAUCCUGGGCAGCACUUGUUGACCUUGGUCACUGUCAAGGGAAGAUCGGCUGUUCCCACUGAGGGCAUCUUGAUGGAUUAAGGUGAUCAGCUGAUCAAUGUGAGGGGACAGAUGGGAGCUAGGAACUGUCUCGGUACUGAGUCAUUUUUCAUCUAAUGUGCAAGAAACCCAAAGAGCACAUCAAACAGCGAACUACGCCUAAGCUAUCCAUGUUUCUCCUGCUUCUUCUGAGAGGGUGAUUUACACGUAGCUCAACACUCGAGUGUUGCAGUAUCGAGUGACUGCAACCAAACAAUGGAACAUGCAUCGUGCCUGUUGACAGAGCCUGCAGUUGGCUUGGAACCGGGACCAUGCUGCAUUCGACAUCGUUCCUGGUGGCUGACUUGUUCCCAUAGAAUUAAAUGCUAGGCAUCCAGAAGCUGACUGUGCAUCUGAUGGGCUCACUAACAUUCAGGAACAGGUUGGCCUCAGACUUCAUCAAUGGAAAGUGUAGGCAUAGGACAAAAAAAAGAGCACGUUUGAAAGACUACAUUUUCAUGAAAUUGGAAAUGCUACAUGCAAGCUGCAGAUGCUGAUUGCAGAGUCAGAAGACAUGGCCGUCAGUGUUAGGACUCUGCCUUAUUCUGCUAUUUCUCCUUGACGACCUACAGUUUGCAUUGUGGGUGGCAUUCAUUAACGAGGGCAGUAAAAACAUGGAGAAAACAUUGCAAGCUCUCCUUCGUGUUUCGCUCACUGGCCAAGUAGCUAACCAACUAGGUGUUCAGGCUCCCAUGUGUCUCAAUAUGAUGUGGCUCCUUCCAGUAGCAACCAUCCUGAGCAGAGACCUUUGUUCUAAUUUAAAAAUUAGACAUGAUAUAGAGCUUACCACACAUUUUUCCCCCUGAAGAUUAAAGAUCUUCAUGAAGGUACUGGCUUAAAAGACAUCAACCCCAAGCCUUUCGAAGGAUAUGCACUUGAGAUUGCCAUACUCGAUGGUGCGUCCAAUUAACUUAGAAAUACCCUUGACAUUUCUCAUCCGUGAAGAGAAGCUUUAGGUGACAGUUUUCAUGGUGUGGGUACUCUCGGUGCCUAAUUUGCUUUUUUUUCUUGUUUUCAAGCCUGAAAGGGAAAUAGCCUUGGCUUUCAGCUCUGGAGCGCGAUGCCCUCCUUACGAGUAUUCAGCUACUGUCUGAACCAUUGUACUUGCCUUCCCCUCCAUACCCCUUUUUCCCCAAAGUCCCGUUGAUAGCUCAUU